UACGUAGGGUGCAAGCGUUACUCGGAAUUACUGGGCGUAAAGCGUGCGCAGGCGGUGAUGUAAGACAGAUGUGAAAUCCCCGGGCUCAACCUGGGAACUGCAUUUGUGACUGCAUCGCUGGAGUACGGCAGAGGGGGAUGGAAUUCCGCGUGUAGCAGUGAAAUGCGUAGAGAUGCGGAGGAACACCGAUGGCGAAGGCAGCCCCCUGGGUCGACACUGACGCUCAGGCACGAAAGCGUGGGGAGCAAACAGG
rnacentral:rRNA from 1 species